GAUGAGGGGUGCCGCAAGGCUGAGAUCAUACCCGUAACCUGAUCUAGAUAAUGCUAGCGUAGGGAAGGCACC
rnacentral:ncRNA from 1 species